UCUUUAGAUUUCAAGACACACCUGUGCAAGAGUCUUUGUCUGAGAUGGUUCUUCUGAAGUGACCAAGACUUGGAAAAUGGCCUAUGGGCCUCUGUUGAUUAACAGCAUCCAACUACAGCAGAGAAUUUGUGGCAUUUAUGCAAGAGAUUAACCUAGUAGAAGGCAGAGACCAACUUCCUUCUUUUAGCAAGUUCCAGAUGGCAGGCCUGCCCUUACCGUGUAACUUUGCACAAUCAAGUUCAAGUCAAGAAAGGAGGCAGAAGGUCUGCCCCUAGGUAUUCAAGGCCAGCAUGUCAACUAGCCUGCGGCAGCUCAGUCUAUGAAAAAUGGGUCUACACAGUCACGGGAGUAGGUCCUCUCACUACUACGUGGUUGCUUAGAAGAGCCAAGAAAGCUUCAAGCUCCCAAAGGUACCAGAAGUGUCACAGAAUAAGGCAUUUCUAUGAUCUUUCAUGUCAUGAAAAAAAUACAACAUGAAUCAUCUUUUUAAGCCCAAACUGGAAUUUCCUCCAAGAAGGAAAAAAGAAAACUACUAGAAAGCUGUUGAACAACCUUUUCCCCAUGAUCAUAAGUUGCUAUGAAACUUGACUGAGCAAGGGUGAAAGAAGGCUGAUCAUUUUCAUUGAUUUGUGUUGUAUGCACUGGUGGCCAAGAGCUUGUAAAAUCCACACUUUGCCUGGUCCUUUUAUAAGAGCUGAAGAAGGGUUUGUAAGGUAGAGAAGCACUUAACAAAUCUGAUGGUAUCUUCUUUUUUAUCAAAUUUUACAUCCCUCAUUAAUCACUCCACAAAUUAAUCAGAGAAACCUUCUCUUCCCCCAGCUAAUUUUGCAUGUGGAAUUUCAAAUCCACAGAUAAUAAUUAGAAGCCUGCCCUGUGUGUAGACCUGUAGAACCCAGACCUGCUUCUUCCUACUUUGUGAUCUUGGGCAAAAUACUCAAAUUAUCUAAAUUUCUAUAUCCUCCUUAUGAAAUGGGGAUGAUUUUGCCUGCCUCCCUAGUUGUCAUGAGGACACAAUCUUGAAAUGUCUGCAGCUUCACAUGAGCUUGGUUUUUCCUUCCCACAAAUCCUUUCUUUACUCUUUUACCAUUUCCUUGUGUUAUACUUGAAAAUGACUGUCUUGUGACAGAGAUUGAAGUCUCCAUUGUACUUGGAAAAAUCAGGUUAAUAAAAGGUUAUCCAGA